rnacentral:rRNA from 1 species
GAUGAACGCUGGCGGCGUGCCUAAUACAUGCAAGUCGAGCGAACAGACGAGGAGCUUGCUCCUCUGACGUUAGCGGCGGACGGGUGAGUAACACGUGGAUAACCUACCUAUAAGACUGGGAUAACUUCGGGAAACCGGAGCUAAUACCGGAUAACAUGUUGAACCGCAUGGUUCAACAGUGAAAGACGGUCUUGCUGUCACUUAUAGAUGGAUCCGCGCCGCAUUAGCUAGUUGGUAAGGUAACGGCUUACCAAGGCAACGAUGCGUAGCCGACCUGAGAGGGUGAUCGGCCACACUGGAACUGAGACACGGUCCAGACUCCUACGGGAGGCAGCAGUAGGGAAUAUUCCACAAUGGGCGAAAGCCUGACGGAGCAACGCCGCGUGAGUGAAGAAGGUCUUCGGAUCGUAAAGCUCUGUUAUUAGGGAAGAACAAAUGUGUAAGUAACUAUGCACGUCUUGACGGUACCUAAUCAGAAAGCCACGGCUAACUACGUG